UACGUAGGGAGCAAGCGUUGUCCGGAUUUAUUGGGCGUAAAGAGCUCGUAGGCGGCUUGGCAAGUCAGGUGUGAAAACUCCAGGCUCAACCUGGAGACGGCACUUGAUACUGCCAUGGCUUGAGUUCGGUAGGGGACCAUGGAAUUCCUGGUGUAGCGGUGAAAUGCGCAGAUAUCAGGAGGAACACCAAUGGCGAAGGCAGAUCUCUGGGCCGUAACUGACGCUGAGGAGCGAAAGCAUGGGGAGCGAACAGG
rnacentral:rRNA from 1 species